CUCCUCCAGCCCUUCCACCCCCUGGAGAAUCGACCAGUAGAUGAACGGUUGCCCAGUGCCAAGACAAUCCUCAAAAACUCAAGGGGUGGAGCGGUGAUUUGGGGGGUCAUGCGAGGAUUUUAAUUGGACGACCUUAAAUUAAUUGAAAUGCAAUCCUCUGGGGGUGUUUGCGGGUUGAGGGAGUUUUUAGAACGCAAGGAAAUAGCGAGUGAUGAAAGAUUUUCUCCUGGGGAUUAGUCGAGGACGUGGUGCUAUGGCAACGGAAUUGUUUGGAUCUUCCCUCAGGAAAACUCUCUUCCAGUUAAAAUAAUCCGUGAAAAUUAUCCUCCACUGCAAUUGCGGUAUUCCGGAGUAAAAAAUGAACGAUUUGUCUCUGAAGGCUCAGGAGAGCCUCGUCAAGCGAUCGUUACGUGAAAAGGAGGAAAAACGGGCGCAAGGACGAAGGAGAAAUUUACUGUACCUCAUUCUAGAUUUUCUGCGACAGGAGAAGUA